rnacentral:pre_miRNA from 1 species
UCACCUGGGGCCUGAGCCAAAGUCCGCUGAAGUCCAUGGAAGUCUUUCCAUUGACCUCAGUGGGCUUUGGAUCAGGCCCUGAUUCA